rnacentral:misc_RNA from 1 species
GAAAUGCGAUAAGUAAUGUGAAUUGCAGAAUUCAGUGAAUCAUCGAAUCUUUGAACGCACCUUGCGCCCUUUGGUAUUCCGAGGGGCAUGCCUGUUUGAGUGUCAUUAAAUACCAUCAACCCUCUUUUGACUUCGGUCUCGAGAGUGGCUUGGAAGUGGAGGUCUGCUGGAGCCUAACGGAGCCAGCUCCUCUUAAAUGUAUUAGCGGAUUUCCCUUGCGGGAUCGCGUCUCCGAUGUGAUAAUUUCUACGUCGUUGACCAUCUCGGGGCUGACCUAGUCAGUUUCAACAGGAGUCUGCUUCUAACCGUCUCUUGACUGAGACUAGCGACUUGUGCGCUAACUUUUGACUUGACCUCAAAUCAGGUAGGACUACCCGCUGAACUUAAGC